CGCAACCCCAACGACCGCAUCGGCAUCAUCUACGACGCCCUCGAUGUCUACAUAGCCUAUCAGAAUCAGCAAGUCACCGUCCCCACCGCGCUCCCCACCGGCUACCAGGGCCACAACGACGUCACCAUAUGGUCGCCGUAUAUAUACGGCACCGACGUCCCGGUGGCGCCAUACAUCACCGCCGCCCUUGGGCAGGACGAGACGGCAGGGUAUAUACUUCUUUACAUAAAAAUUGAGGGUCGGUUGCGAUGGAAAGUUGGUAGCUGGACUUCCAGUCACUAUCAUCUCGACGUCAGCUGCCCGGCUUUCCUCGGCGUUACCGGUGGGUAUGGCGGUGGGGCUAACGGUGGCACCUCCUUCAAGUUCCAGCAUAUCUCCACCUGCAGUGUCGGCGUGUGAGAUAUACUGCAUGUUUACGUAUGUGGGUAAAGAUAUAGAAGUAAAUUCGUGCAGUAUAUAAUAGGGGAGCAGAGUAAAUAAAGUAAGAAAUGAAUUUCCAUAUUUAUUCGAGGAUGAUUUAGUUCAUUAAUUAGGGUCGGAAUGUUUUUAUUUGACAAUUUAAUAAUUAUUUAACUUGUUGAAGGACAUUUUUUGUGAAGGGUUUAAAUUUG
rnacentral:misc_RNA from 1 species